CACACUGGGACUGAGACACGGCCCAGACUCCUACGGGAGGCAGCAGUGGGGAAUAUUGGACAAUGGGCGAAAGCCUGAUCCAGCAAUGCCGCGUGUGUGAAGAAGGCCUGCGGGUUGUAAAGCACUUUUGGCAGGGAAGAAAAGCUCGGGGCUAAUAACCCCGGGAAUUGACGUCACCUGCAGAAAAAGCACCGGCUAACUCUGUGCCAGCCGCCGCCGUAAAAC
rnacentral:rRNA from 1 species